rnacentral:rRNA from 1 species
GAUGAACGCUGGCGGCGUGCCUAAUGCAUGCAAGUCGAACGAAACUUCUUUAUCACCGAGUGCUUGCACUCACCGAUAAAGAGUUGAGUGGCGAACGGGUGAGUAACACGUGGGCAACCUGCCCAAAAGAGGGGGAUAACACUUGGAAACAGGUGCUAAUACCGCAUAACCAUAGUUACCGCAUGGUAACUAUGUAAAAGGUGGCUAAACUACCGCUUUUGGAUGGGCCAGCGGCGCAUUAGCUAGUUGGUAGGGUAAAGGCUUACCAAGGCAAUGAUGCGUAGCCGAAUUGAGAGGUUGAUCGGCCACAUUGGGACUGAGACACGGCCCAAACUCCUACGGGAGGCAGCAGUAGGGAAUCUUCCACAAUGGGCGAAAGCCUGAUGGAGCAACGCCGCGUGGGUGAAGAAGGUCUUCGGAUCGUAAAACCCUGUUGUUAGGGAAGAAAGUGCGUGAGAGUAACUGUUCACGUUUCGACGGUAUCUAACCAGAAAGCCACUGCUAACUACGUG